rnacentral:rRNA from 1 species
UGGGGAAUAUUGGACAAUGGGCGAAAGCCUGAUCCAGCAAUGCCGCGUGAGUGAUGAAGGCCUUAGGGUUGUAAAGCUCUUUUACCAGGGAUGAUAAUGACAGUACCUGGAGAAUAAGCUCCGGCUAACUCCGUGCCAGCAGCCGCGGUAAUACGGAGGGGGCUAGCGUUGUUCGGAAUUACUGGGCGUAAAGCGCACGUAGGCGGCGAUUUAAGUCAGAGGUGAAAGCCCGGGGCUCAACCCCGGAAUAGCCUUUGAGACUGGAUUGCUUGAACAUCGGAGAGGUGAGUGGAAUUCCGAGUGUAGAGGUGAAAUUCGUAGAUAUUCGGAAGAACACCAGUGGCGAAGGCGGCUCACUGGACGAUUGUUGACGCUGAGGUGCGAAAGCGUGGGGAGCAAACA